UUUGCACUUUGGCUUCUAUUUUUAAGUUGACCUACGACCUACCCUCUCUCUGCAUCUCUUCUGGUCGAAUUCAGUCACCACAGACGAUGGUAUUCUCUCUCUUAUCAAUCUGUGUGUUAGGGUUCUGGGUAACCUAAAUUAAUGGAGCAGCGCAGAGAAAAUGGAGAGAGAUGGAAUCACCGUUUAAGGCGGAUGCGUUGAAAGGGAAGGUGGCUUUGAUAACGGGAGGCAGGUCGGGUAUUGGGUUUGAGAUUUCGACCCAGUUCGGGAAACAUGGAGCGUCUAUUGCAAUUAUGGGGAGGAAGAGGCAAGUGUUGGACUCUGCUGUGUCUGCUCUCCGUCUUUUAGGAUUCCGGUGUGCGAGUAGUUUUAACCUGGGGAUGGAGGAGGAAAAUAUUAUGUCAAUGGACUGAAACCAACAGUUCAAAGUUGGAAGGUCUGCAAAUCAACCAAAGAAGAAUCUGUCUUCACUGCAACAUUGACUAUCUCUGCUGUAUGUUUUAGUAUGAGGCUCUUUUGAUAUGUCCAGAAAUCAUUAUGGUGAUAUCUCUCUGCUCUGCUUUACCACAGACGGGUAUUUCGCUAUGCUCUGCUUCUCGAUCUUGUUUUCUUCAUGAUUCCCCGUUGGUUUGCUUUCACCAGGAUCUAAGAGUUUUCUCCGAUCGAAGUGUUGAUGGGCGGUGGCUUUCUUCUCUAUCCAAAUCAGAAUUAGGUGAUGCCAAGCCUCAUCGUCCCGGAAUGUGAUGAUUGAGAACAUUGACAAAGUGUUGGAGGGAGGUGAUUGGUUGGAAUUGCUGGUUGAUAAAACUGCUAAUAUGCAAGGCAAUACCUUUCGAUUCCAAAAACAAGCUCGCUGUUUCAGAAGCACUGUUUGGUGGAGAAAUGUUAAGCUCAUCAUUACAGAUUCGCUUGGACAACAACUUCAACUUCAACUGUUAUUUGGGAGGUUGCAGGGAGAGACAUCGGCAGCAACUAGGAGAAGAUCUGAGAUUACUCUUGAGCUGGACAAGCAUAAUAACCAGUUUUUGUAUAUGGAUGAAGUGAAGCUUGCGAACUACUCAGCCUUAAUGAUGCUUUCGGUUGUGCAGAUCAAUACUAUAAGGAUAAAUUCUCUUUGGAAGUUGGAGGUUAUUGCAGUGAUUAGAAUGAAAGUUCAGUUUAGUAACUGACUAACUGUUAAAUUAGGACAGAAGAGUUUAUGCUAAUGGAAGCAUUUGUUUGGACAUCCUACAAAAUCAGUGGAGCCCUAUUUGUGAUGUAGCAGCUAUACUUACUUCCAUUCAGUCAUUGCUGUGUGAUCCAAACCUGAACUCUCCAGCAAACAAUUAGAAUGCUAGUGUAGUCUAUCCCAAAUACUCAAUAUCUUGAAUUAUUCUAAUUCGUAAUUGAGUAUAGCUGGAAGAUUUGAGAUUGUAUUGAACUGAAUAUUGCUAGUUUGAAAAUUAUUUUGGUUGACAAAGUCAUAUGUAUUGUGAUAUGAA